rnacentral:rRNA from 1 species
GUAUGAAUGGCCACACGAGGGCUUUACUGUCUCUUACUUUUAAUCCGUGAAAUUGACCUGCCCGUGAAGAGGCGGGAAUGACACAAUAAGACGAGAAGACCCUAUGGAGCUUUAAUUAACCGACCCAAAGAGAUCUUGAUAAUCAACCGACAGGGAUAACAUACCUCUACCAUGGGCCGACAAUUUAGGUUGGGGUGACCUCGGAGAAUAAAACAACCUCCGAGUGAUUUAAAUCUAGACUAACUAGUCGAAAGUACUACAUCACUUAUUGAUCCAAAAACUUGACCAACGGAACAAGUUACCCUAGGGAUAACAGCGCAAUCCUAUUCUAGAGUCCAUAUCAACAAUAGGGUUUACGACCUCGAUGUUGGA